ensembl:miRNA mir107 microRNA mir-107
AAAUCUCACAUCUGUGUGCUGUGAGCUUCUUUACAGUGUUGCCUUGUGGCAUGGCGAUCAAGCAGCAUUGUACAGGGCUAUCACUGCAUGCAGAACUGCAGCUGGUU